UGUCAUUCAAAUUGACUUUUGGAGAAUUCUCCUGAGUACGCUGGAAACCUGUAGCAGGAAUGAAGAGAGACAUAUCCAAUCCAAGAGAAUCCGAUCCUUUUGACGACAGAUGGGUCAUCAAAAUGGUCUUUAAAAAACAUUUGUCUCCCAGCCCGAUGGAAGACAACCGUACCACAGGCGGAUCAGCAUUGAAUAUCGAAAGCAAUGUUCCGUUGGACCUGCUUGUAGAACUUGUUCCGGAGCACCUUAACCAACUAUGGUGGAGUGGAUAAGUACUUUGCAAAGCCCGGGUUUUAAUGGGUGCCCAGAAAACAGUGGAGAGUCCAGCUAUAUUGUCCACAUCCAGGCUGUGAUAGGCAAGAGCUCGCCUCUGCAGGCAUAAACCAAAAGGUCAGACAAGUUGUUGCUAUUGAUGGCUAUUACAACUUGGCCUGUGACAACCAGGAAUGCAUGAAAUGCAGACGGCGUGUUCUCAGUUGGAGUCAUUCCAUUUUUGUCACAGCUCGACAUACGCGAAACAUGCCCGUGACAGGAAGAUUGUCUUACUGCUCAGAAACAGAAGACUUGGUUACAGUUGCAGUCAAAUCAGAAAGAAGUUAGAUGAACAACAUGAUGAAGCAUGGUUCAAUAAUAAUGCUCACUACCUUACAGAUUGCAGUGGCUUCAUUCAUGCAGCACAAUCUGGUUUACUGGUCAAUCAUACCAUUUCUGAUCCACCAGAAAGAGCUCCCCUUCCAAGACACAGAUGGUUCAUGCAAAUCUACACCCAGAACGUAUUUCAACGGCUAGACGAGAUAAUGGCUGGCAUAACCUCUGUGUUUGGAAGAAUUCUUAAACUGGAUUCAACAAAGAAAAUGGUGAAGAAGUUGGCAGGUCGCCCUGCUAUAACAGCUCUUUGGUGCUCGAAUGUUGGAAACGAGCAUGGGCAGAUCUUGACUUCAGUCAUAACAAGUAGUGAAGGACAUGGUCUUACCCCAAUGUUGGUGGGUAUCAUUAACAGAUACACAAAGGCAGAGAUCCCUUCCCCUAGAAAUCCUGUAUCUUGAUCGUGACUGUUGUGGUGCAUCUCUCUUACAAGUGUUGAAGGCGUCAGCAUGGAAUGCUACAUUUGUCCGUCUUGAUAUCUGGCAUUUUAUGAGGAGAAUUGCCACUGGUUGUUCCACUGACUCACAUGCGUUGUACUCAACUUUCAUGGGGUUAAUGAGCAACUGCAUUUUCAAUUGGGAUGAAGAGGAUUUCCAACGUCUUGUUAAGUCCAAGAGAAAUGAGCUUGCGGCACAAGAUAUUCACUACAAGUCGAAAAGUGAUGUGAAAACUCUUACUCACAAUGAGCUAGCUUUGCACUGCCUUCGCAUAACAAGGGGUGUGUCUGAGACCACAAGACUUCUCCACGAGCUCAUCAAAGUCUUCAGUGGUGAAAAGAGAAGGGACAAUUUAGGUGUACCCUUAAUCAACAGCUCGCGGAUGAAAAGCAUAUGGAAAGCACAACAGAAACAGAUAGUCUGCAUACAAGAUCCCCCCUUGAAUAGCACUGUACAACAAGACUGGCUCUUCAAAGAAGGGAGGGAUUGAGAUGCCAAACUUUAAAUGUGAUCAUGGCUAAACAUCUUUUGAAAGCUUCCAUUUGAACCCGAACAGGUUUAUCAAAGGUAUACAAGACGUGCCAAAGACUAUGACAAACAUGUUGUGACCAAGGGAGUGAGGUUUGUCAACCCAUCACAAACAACCAAUUUGGGAAUUCCGGUUGCGGUUGGAAACCAGUUCAACUUCCAACAAGGAAAGCAGAACCACGUGUUUUCCCAUGUACAACAAACACUGCUGGUCUGGCAAGAAUAAAGGGGCAGAAAAAACCGCCAAAGAAGCCAUCUGAAAAAGUUCAUUUGUUAAAUAAUACUGAUAUUAUUGCUCCCAAGCAGACGUCUGAUAGUGACUGGAGAAGAGAUCACAUAUAUGCUGACAGACCAGUUGUCUAAUGAUAAUACAAUGACCUUGUCUGCUCAUAUUGCUCCCCAGCCCAUGGUUACAUUUCUUGAUAGGUCAACUAUCCCCUACACCACUCAAAGGUACAGGAAGCGAAAGCUUGAGAUGGAAAAAGAAGGAAUUACGAAAAGGAAAUAUGACAGGAAGAAAGUACCGAUUUGUAAGAGUGUGGCCGGGAUCACAAUGAAGUGACAGAAUAAAAGGACUCCAGUAGCACUCUAACAAGUGACAUGUAACCAAUUCAAGUAUCUUCAUAUUUAAUGGUGUUGUGAAACCUUUGCUAUUAUUUUAAGAAUAUUUUUUUUUCGGUGUGCUAUACCUGACCAAUCUUUUGGAGGGAAAAGACACGGUUUUAGUUUAAAAGCAACCAAGAGAGACAGUUAAGAGUAUUUGCCAGAGGCUUUGAAAACAAUUCAAUUCCAUAAAUUGAUUUGAUUCUACAUACAUCUAAUUUUACUGUCAGAUACUACAUAAUAAACUUGAUAAACUGAACCGUGAAUUUUGGUAGUAUUAUAAUUAUAUCUAGACACAAG